AUGUGUUUUAUUUCAGACAUUCUGUCGGAGAACAAACAGGAGUCCAGAAUAGAAGUCCCUCACUGGAGUUCCCCUGCAGCGCAAUGGGAUCGGUGGCAUCUCUGGAGCGCCAGGACACAGGAUGCCUAUGGAAAUGGUGUUGCCGUCUUUGAGGGUUCUGCUCUGUUCGUGGCGGAUGAAUUAGUGCCUGGAAACUCUCUGCGCUGCCCUGGUAGCUUCCUUCUGGAAGUCCAACCACCAACCUCCUUUGAAUCUUGGUUAAUUAAAUCCAAUUGCUCGUUAAGCUGGGGUUCUCUCAGUUUGGAAAAAAUGGGAAAAAUAAGGACUAGAUGUGGUCUAGCCAAUGUCAGAAAGUAUCACUUUUCAGCUGCAUAUUUGAGGGCAAGAAAAGGAAAGUAGAAAGAAAGAGGCAGAAAACAAAGGCGCCAGCAAGCUGAGCGCCGCCGGGACCCUCUCUAAGGCUCCUAUGUGUUCUUCCACUGCAGAGGCAGCAGGAGAUGCUCCAUCCAUCCACCUGCAGUUAGCACGUGAGCAGAGGAAGGGAGGGAGGCGGGAAGUCAGUGCCUCUUAGAUCCGUUUAUUCUGCCAUGAGGGGUUGUAGCCUGGGAUUCCAAACUCUUGCCCAUUCAGCCUGGAGAACUGACCUGAGGAACUUCUGCCUUUAAAAAGAAGAUGACUCCUGCAGGCAAGUCAGCAGAAGGGAGUUAUAGAAAGCCAUCCUCAAGAAAAGAGCAAGGUGGCACCUGGCACAGAACCUGGCCAUAGGAGGUUCUCCAUACCUUCAUUCAUUCCUUGCAAAAGACACUGAGUGGGUGUCUGCUAUGUGCUCUGUACUAAGAAUUCAGCCCUGAAAGAAACAGACAUAAAGUCAUGUCCUGGAAUAUAGAGUCUAUUGGGAGGACUGGUCAUCCUGUAGAUCAAGGGACAAUUGCUAAGAGUGAUAAGCACUAAUCACUGUCUCUGGGUCUCUGGGAUUUUUCUCAGUGUUUUGUGCCCAGGGGCAGCCAGUGGCAACAUGGUAAUGGGAGGUCAGAGUCAAGGAGACUCUGGAUUCAAACCCAGUUCUUUCCCUUCCUACCUAGGGGACUGUAGGCCAGUUAUUUAACCUCUGUUUCUCCGCAAAACUGUGAUGAUACACAUACUACUAUACAUCAGUAGGUCCAACAAGGACAUACUGUAUAGCUCUGGGACUUGUACUCAGUGUUUUGUAAUAACCUGUAAGAGAAAAGAAUCUGAAAGAGAAUAUAUACAUAUAUACACAU
rnacentral:lncRNA from 9 species